ensembl:snRNA Gm23041 U6 spliceosomal RNA
GCAUUCGCUUUGGCGGCACACAUACUAAAAUUGGAACAAUACAGAGAAGACUAGCAUGGCCACUGCGCAAGGAUGACAGGCAGAUUCAUGAACCAUUCCAUAUUUCU